rnacentral:tRNA from 1 species
AACAAGGUAAGCUAAUAAAGCUUUUGGGUUCAUACUUCAAGAAUAGGGGAUAAAUACCUCUCUUUGUUU